CACCGCCUGGGGAGUACGACCGCAAGGUUAAAACUCAAAUGAAUUGACGGGGACCCGCACAAGCAGUGGAGCAUGUGGUUUAAUUCGAAGAUACGCGCAGAACCUUACCAACACUUGACAUGUUCGUCGCGACUCUAAGAGAUUAGAGUCUUCGGUUCGGCCGGACGAAACACAGGUGCUGCAUGGCUGUCGUCAGCUCGUGUCGUGAGAUGUUGGGUUAAGUCCCGCAACGAGCGCAACCCUUACUUUUAGUUGCCACCAUUUAGUUGAGCACUCUAAAAGAACUGCCAGUGAUAAGCUGGAGGAAGGUGGGGAUGACGUCAAGUCCUCAUGGCCCUUACGUGUUGGGCUACACACGUGCUACAAUGGCACUUACAAUGGGAAGCAAAGAGGCGACUCUUAGCUAAUCCCAAAAAAGUGCCUCAGUUCGGAUUGUACUCUGCAACUCGAGUGCAUGAAGCUGGAAUUGCUAGUAAUCGCGGAUCAGCGCGCCGCGGUGAAUACGUUCCCGGGUCUUGUACACACCGCCCGUCACACCAUGGAAGUUGGUUACACCUUAAGGCAAAGCUUAAAAACUUUGACUACGGUACGAUCGGCGACUGGGGUGAAGUCGUAACAAGGUAGCCGUAGGGGAACCUGCGGCUGGAUCACCUCCUUUCUAAGGAAAUCGAACAUUUUUUUCGAUUUAAAAAAAUAGUAAUGUGACCGUCCUCAUUUCUCUUCUUUUAAUGUCUCUGAGUAAGUGUAAGUAAGGGGCCGGUAGCUCAGGUGGUUAGAGCGCACCCCUGAUAAGGGUGAGGUCGGAAGUUCGAGUCUUCCUCGGCCCACCAAAAAUUUCGGGGGAUUAGCUCAGCUGGGAGAGCGCCUGAUUUGCAUUCAGGAGGUCAGCGGUUCGAUCCCGCUAUCCUCCACCAAAAUAGAGACAUUUAGCUUUUUUAAAUUGUAAAUAUUAUUAUCAAUAUCUAUAUCCGAUUGUUUUCAGAUUUAUUUGAAAACAAUCAAACAAAAAUUUAAUUUAUUACAGAAAAAUUUUUUUCUG
rnacentral:sRNA from 1 species